rnacentral:rRNA from 1 species
ACACGGCCCAAACUCCUACGGGAGGCAGCAGUAGGGAAUCUUCCACAAUGGACGCAAGUCUGAUGGAGCAACGCCGCGUGAGUGAAGAAGGGUUUCGGCUCGUAAAGCUCUGUUGGUAGUGAAGAAAGAUAGAGGUAGUAACUGGCCUUUAUUUGACGGUAAUUACUUAGAAAGUCACGGCUCACUACGUGCCAGCAGCCGCGGUAAU